AACCCCCCGCUAUCCAUUAAAAAAAUAGCAGGAUGUUAAUUACUUUAGUGUUGCCUCCAUUUUUCUAAAAUUUCCCUCUCAAAUUUUCCCCCAAAUCAAUUUUUUUCCCAAAACCAUUUUCUAAUCGCCAGCUUCCUGUGGUAGAUGGUGGGAAACGUUAUAAGGGCCGCCCUUCAGAUAUUUUCCAAAUUGAAUGCAAAUUCGAGUGUUGAAAUACAUAAUUUAAGAAGGACGAAAGAAGGAUGGACCUCAUAUAUCUCCUAGUGACAAAAUUUAUGAGUACAUUUUCUUCUGAGGCAGUGACAUAAAGCCAAGUAAUGCAGCUAGUGGACCCAUUUCGCCCAUGAAUGCAAGGAGAUCACCUGAUGAUAGUGAUCCUAAUGACAGUCGUUGAUUUCAUUACAAAUUAUCUAGGAUAUUCAAUUAUGAUGAUGUAAUUGUGUGGUUGGAGUGAAUCUUAGAAUAUUGAAGGUUUUGUGUUUAAAUUUGAUUUUGGGGUUUGAAGAUACUAGUUAAUGUUAAAAAUUUGGACUUUGAA